rnacentral:snRNA from 1 species
ACAUGAAAAAUAGGGCAUUACGCAUAUCAGUGAGGAUUCGUCCGAGAUUGCGUUUUUGCUAGUUGAAAACUAUCAACUGACCGCUCUCGUUGGUCUUCGGAUCGGCGAGGAAUUUUUGACAAUCCAACGA